ensembl:lncRNA
AGCUUAAAGAGUGACGUCAUUUGUCAAUUUAUCAUCGCCACCAAUCUGAUCCACACAGUUGUCUUUGUCACAAUAUCAGGAUUCACAAGAAAAAAAAAAAAGUUUCUGGAUGGGAGUCUCCAGUGUCAGCACUUUGUGUCAGUCAGUAAAUUUUCAGAAAUAGGAAAUGUCUUCACGGUGGAGGUUUCUUGGUAACUUGACAAUCUGUCUUAACUUCAAGAGGGGAAAAAAGGAGAUGCUGGUAUUUCCCUUUUAUCCCCAGAGUUCCCUGGAUAGGCUCUGGAUUUACUCCGACCCUGAUCAAGAUAAAACACUUAGCAACACAUACAGCUGUAUAAUCUCAAUAGUUUCCACCUAAACUACAAUAAACAGCCAAAAGUAUGCGGACACCUGACCAUCACACAUAAAUAUGGUUCUUCCCCAGACUGUUGCCACAAAGUUGGAAGCACACAAUCGUAUAAAAAGUUUUUGAAUGCUGUAGCAUUACAAUUUCCCUUCCCUGGAACUAAGAGGCCCAAACCUGUUCCAGCAUGACAAUGUGCACAAAGCAAGCUCUGUGAAGACUGGGUUUGCCAAGUUUGCCCUGACCUCAACCCUACUGAACACCUUUGGGAUGAAUUGGAAUGCAGACUGCUCACCAGACAUCACCUCCACACCCAACAUCAGUGCCUGACCUCACUAAUGCUAUUAUGGCUGAAUGAACACAAAGACACCGGAGAUGCCUUACAUAAAUGCUAAUAAAUAAAUAAAUAAAUAAAUAAAUACACACAGCAUCAACAACCUUAAUUUGUUUGAUUUAUUUUUAGUUUCUUUGCUAAUAGGUGUUACAAAUGUGUAUCAGUUUUAGGGUAGCAGUAGAAGGGCUAUUGAGAACAAUGGACCUGUAGUACAUUUUACUUUUGCAGUGACAAAUAUAAUGUAAUGUUUCCGUUCACUUUUAAAGUUUUCAUUUGACUCACCCUUGUAUGUUCUUUUUUUUUUUGUUAAAUAACAGCAAAUUGUCCUUUUAACUGUAGAUGUCCCUGUGAAUUUGCUAUUAGUGUAGUAAACAUGACAUCAAAUGAGCACAUUAAUACAAUAUGAUUUGUCUUGCAGAUUGCCAGCUGCCGACUGAGCUGCUGUUAUAUAAGUAAUAACACACGACAGAUCUUGCAGUUAGGCAAAGAUUACAAUGUGUAAUUUCUUAAUGCACAAUAUGUCAUGCAUUUUAAUGGUAUAUAGUUAUAUUUAAGGUUGUAGAACAUCCGAGAGACAACUGCGAUAAACAGUCAUUCCCUCACCAGUCUGUCUGUCUGUCUGUCUCUGUGUGUGUGUGGGUGGAUAUGUGUCACACAAUUGAUCAUACCUCAACAGCGAUUUAGUUGCAGUUUAUGCUCAUUUGACAAAUCUUAAAUAAAUCAUAGUAGAUGCAUAUAUAUAUAUAUAUAUAUAUAUAUAUAUAUAUAUAUAUAUA